AAUUUGGAUUUUCUCGCUCUGCGAGCGAGUGAUCUCGUGCCUAUUGAAGAAUGAGCCGACGAGUUGUCGUUUAAAGCAUAGUUUAAUCCGCCUGAGGCGGAGGAGGCGUAGCGAAAGCAAGUCUUAAAAGGCGAAAAAAAGCUUUAGGCGGCAGACCCGAAACCAGGUGAGCUAUCCAUGAGCAGGGUGAAGCGAACAGAAAUGUUGGUGGAGGCCCGAACCCGUGUACGUUGCAAUGUGCUGGGAUGACUUGUGGUUAGUGGUAAUAUGCCUAACGAACCUGGAGAUAGCUGGUUCUCCCCGAAAGGUCUAUAGGGACCGUGUUAUGUUAAGUUCUGUUGGCGGUAGAGCACUAGAUGGGCUAGAGAGCGCAAGCAAUUUAGUUCAAUUAAACUCCGAAUUCCAACGUGAAUUAUCAUAAUAGACAAUCAUAUCGGGCUAAGCUGAUAUGAUGAAAGGGAAACAACCCAGACUUUCAGCUAAGGCCUCUAAAUCUACAUUAAGUUUAAAAGGAAGUCCUUUUUCUCAGACAGCCAGGAGGUUGGCUCAGAAGCAGCCACCCUUUAAAGAUAGCGUAACAGCUCACUGGUCGAUGGGAAGGGGCGCCUAAGAUUUAUCGAGGAUUAAAUGUAGUGCCGAAGCUAGAGAUUCCCGCUUGUAGAACAGGAAUGCCAAAUAAACCAAUAAGUACCAAUAAAUACAAAUUCCCAAUUGGGCAUUUGAAAUUGGUAUUUAUUUGAAAUUUGACAUUUCCCGCUCUGCGAGCGGGUCUGGUAGGGGAGCGUCCCGCCUGUUGUGAAGCAAAAUUGUGAGAUUUUGUGGAACGAGCGGGAGUGAGAAUGUCGGCUUGAGUAGCGUACAACACUAGUGAGAAUCUAGUGCGCCGAAUACCCAAGGUUUCCACUGCAAGGUUCGUCCGCAGUGGGUUAGUCGGUACCUAAGGCGAGGCCAUAAUGGCGUAGUCGAUGGAAGAGCAGUUAAAAUUCUGCUAUUUACCGUAAAUCGUUUGACUUGGGGGUUGA
rnacentral:rRNA from 1 species